UACGAAGGGGGCUAGUGUUGCUCGGAAUCACUGGGCGUAAAGCGCACGAAGGCGGAUUGUUAAGUCAGGGGUGAAAUCCUGGAGCUCAACUCCAGAACUGCCUUUGAUACUGGCGAUCUCGAGUCCGGGAGAGGUGAGUGGAACUGCGAGUGUAGAGGUGAAAUUCGUAGAUAUUCGCAAGAACACCAGUGGCGAAGGCGGCUCACUGGCCCGGUACUGACGCUGAGGUGCGAAAGCGUGGGGAGCAAACAGG
rnacentral:rRNA from 1 species